UACGAAGGGGGGCUAGCGUUGCUCGGAUUGACUGGGCGUAAAGGGCGCGUAGGCGGCUUGUACAGUCAGACGUGAAAUUCCUGGGCUCAACCUGGGGGGCUGCGUUUGAUACGUAUGGGCUUGAGUUCGGAAGAGGGUCGUGGAAUUCCCAGUGUAGAGGUGAAAUUCGUAGAUAUUGGGAAGAACACCGGUGGCGAAGGCGGCGACCUGGUCCGAUACUGACGCUGAGGCGCGAAAGCGUGGGGAGCAAACAGGG
rnacentral:rRNA from 1 species